GAUGGAAGGAGAGGAGUUGGUGGGGACUAGCUAUGAACAUCCUGACCUGUGACUCCUCUCCCAG
rnacentral:miRNA from 1 species